AUUGAACGCUGGCGGCAUGCCUUACACAUGCAAGUCGAACGGCAGCACGGGAGCAAUCCUGGUGGCGAGUGGCGAACGGGUGAGUAAAGUAUCGGAACGUGCCCAGUCGUGGGGGAUAACGUAGCGAAAGUUACGCUAAUACCGCAUACGAUCUAUGGAUGAAAGCGGGGGAUCGCAAGACCUCGCGCGAUUGGAGCGGCCGAUUUCAGAUUAGGUAGUUGGUGGGGUAAAGGCUCACCAAGCCGACGAUCUGUAGCUGGUCUGAGAGGAAGACCUGCCACACUGGGACUGAGACACGGCCCAAACUCCUACGGGAGUCAGCAGUGGGGAAUUUUGGACAAUGGGAGAAAGACUGAUCCAGCAAUGCCGCGUGCAGGAAGAAGGCCUUCGGGUUGUAAACUGCUUUUGUACGGAGCGAAAAGGCUCUCUCUAAUACAGGGGGCUCAUGACGGUACCGUAAGAAUAAGCACCGGCUAACUACGUGCCAGCCGCCGCGGUAA
rnacentral:rRNA from 1 species